rnacentral:rRNA from 1 species
UAGGGAAUCUUCGGCAAUGGGGGCAACCCUGACCGAGCAACGCCGCGUGAGUGAAGAAGGUUUUCGGAUCGUAAAGCUCUGUUGUAAGUCAAGAACGGGUGUGAGAGUGGAAAGUUCACACUGUGACGGUAGCUUACCAGAAAGGGACGGCUAACUACGUGCCAGCAGCCGCGGUAAUACGUAGGUCCCGAGCGUUGUCCGGAUUUAUUGGGCGUAAAGCGAGCGCAGGCGGUUUGAUAAGUCUGAAGUUAAAGGCUGUGGCUCAACCAUAGUUCGCUUUGGAAACUGUCAAACUUGAGUGCAGAAGGGGAGAGUG